rnacentral:tRNA from 2 species
GGGCUCAUAGCUCAGCUGGUUAGAGCGCAGCCCUGAUAAGGCUGAGGUCGGUAGUUCGAAUCUAUCUGGGCCCA